AUCAGAUCCAACAGGAGGAUACUUUGAAUAUCUCCAACUGUUUUAUACAGAUGUAAUACACGAAUAUUUUCCCGACAUGCAUCAAACAGUAUAAAGGACAGGACGAAACGAUGAAAAUUAUGGGACCUUUUCUUUUUUUACCUCCACAGCCAUAUAGUCACUCGUAUGCGAUAUGAAAAACGUAUUUUUGAAAAUAAAAUAAACACAAGCGAAAACACGGACAACACAAGCGGCGCGCGCGGAUGAGCUAGAGCGUGUGCUGGAAAAGGACUGCAAAGCAGGGGGGUGUGGAGGAGGGCUACGCGCAAGCUGAUUGGCUAUCCGUGGACUGACUCCUUCCUGUCGCUCCAAGAUGGAUUAGAGACCUGCGCCUCCAGGGACCGAAGUGUGCCAGAUUCUGUCCAAGGGCCGUCUGCCAGCCCAGCAUCAAACUCCAUCAUCAGCAACAUCUGUGGGGAGAAGGAGGCAUCAGAGUUGGGGAUGCUCUCCAUUUACUACACCUACAUAUUCUCAUCUCUGUAGGUGGCUAAGACUGGGAAACCACAGGAGAGCAGAGAGCUGAGACGUCAGCCAGCUGGAAAGCCAGCAGAAAAGCCAGCCAGCUGAAAAGCUGCAUAUUGGUCAGUGGCAUUCGGAGCUGGGCCUGUUUAUGGAGAAGAAACUGCCCUCUUUAAACAUGACAGACAAACUCUUCAACACCACCCUCAUCAUCACCACCAUCCUGAGCUGUUCUACACUGAGCGUGCUCACCUGCGCAUGCUGAAAGUGAUGGACAGCGUCUUCUAUCAGAAGAUGACCAGAGACGCCAUACUGCCCCCUGUGGACAUCAAACGCAUCUUCACCAACCUCGAGGAGAUUGUCCAAC